rnacentral:misc_RNA from 1 species
CAGAGAUCGUGCCCUCACGGGUAGACCUCCCACCCUGUGUUAUUUACCUUUGUUGCUUUGGCAGGCCGCCUUCGGGCCCGCGGCUUCGGCUGGGGAGCGCCUGCCAGAGGACCAACCAACCCUAUUGUAUACCUGUCGUCUGAGUACUAUAUAAUAAGUUA